rnacentral:tRNA from 1 species
UGGGGUGUAGCUCAGUGGUAGAGUGCUUGUGCAGCAUGCACAAGGCCCUGGGUUCCAUCCCCAGCACUACAA